rnacentral:rRNA from 1 species
AGGCCGUAGGUCUUAACCGGUACCCGUAGAGUUUGAACGGGGUCCCGGAAGUUUUUAACGGGGGGCCCAGAAACUUUUGCCUGGCCUGCCUGUAAUACUGGCAUAACUCCGGGAAACCGGAGCUAAUACCGGAUAGUUCCUUGAACCGCAUGGUUCAAGGAUGAAAGACGGUUUCGGCUGUCACUUACAGAUGGACCCGCGGCGCAUUAGCUAGUUGGUGGGGUAAUGGCUCACCAAGGCGACGAUGCGUAGCCGACCUGAGAGGGUGAUCGGCCACACUGGGACUGAGACACGGCCCAGACUCCUACGGGAGGCAGCAGUAGGGAAUCUUCCGCAAUGGACGAAAGUCUGACGGAGCAACGCCGCGUGAGUGAUGAAGGUUUUCGGAUCGUAAAGCUCUGUUGUUAGGGAAGAACAAGUGCGAGAGUAACUGCUCGCACCUUGACGGUACCUAACCAGAAAGCCACGGCUAACUACGUGCCAGCAGCCGCGGUAAUACGUAGGUGGCAAGCGUUGUCCGGAAUUAUUGGGCGUAAAGGGCUCGCAGGCGGUUUCUUAAGUCUGAUGUGAAAGCCCCCGGCUCAACCGGGGAGGGUCAUUGGAAACUGGGAAACUUGAGUGCAGAAGAGGAGAGUGGAAUUCCACGUG